ensembl:lncRNA
CUGGUUUCAGAUUUUUAUCUCUGGCAUAGUGGUGUAGAUCAGCUGAAAGCAGCAGGAUUUGCCCCUGCAGAGACGUGAGCGGCACUCAGGCGCACAGCCGCGGUAUGCGUGCACAUCCACAAGCGAGCAGCGUGAGCACCGUGCUCCUGAGGAAGAGAAACCUGUGUUUGGCUGUUGGUGCCUCUGGGAUGGAGGCUGGAGCCUGCCCUGAUGCAUCAAGGAAGAGUUCCCAUCCAGGCUGUGGGCAAUUGGGCACUGCCUUGGCCAGCGUGUGGCCCAACAUCAUGCUGCUGUGCCGAGGGAAUCGCUGCCCAGUGGUAACCAGAGGCAAAGAUAACUAGCUUAUUGUUAAGAGUUCUAGACCCACAUCUCCAGUUGCCAAUGCUUUUUCUCUCUUCUCCCUGCUCAUGGCAUCUGCCUGCUUUUUCAGGCUGUGGACACACGCACUGGGAUGGGCUUUUGGUGCAGAGGUCAGUGGAUGUAGGAAUGGAGGAGAGCCAUGCACGUAGGGCAGCUACCAGUGCUGUCUCCAUCCAGGGCAAAUUCCACUCUGGAGACCUACAGCAACAAUUCCCACCACCCCCGAGGCGCUGUCUCCUACGCUGACCAUGGGGCACCUCAGGAGAUGGCAGAACCAAGGACUGAUGUUUGGGGUUGCUUUUUUUUUUUACUAUUUUCUUCCUGACUCAUUUCCCCAACCAAUAACUUACUGCGCUCACAAGCGAAAUAAGAACAGCUCCAAUUCCUGCUGAUGUCUGUGAGCUUUGCACGUGGCUCCAAGAGAGGUGGGACUAUCGUAGAAUACCAAAGCAAGCGGAUUGCUGAGGGCUCAGGAAUGGCAGAAAUGCCCUCAUGCGUUCUGUUUGUGACACUGCUGCUAAUUGGAGUUGCUUAAUCACACAGAGAGGCAGCUUCAGAGUAGCUUUACACCAGUCCUUCAGAUGUUUCCCUUAUCUCUGAUUUUCUGUGGCCUGCUGGGCUUUUUCCUAGUUGGUUUUCUGUCACCUAGAAAUUGCUCAGAGUGUUUAUUCCUCAGGACAUUUGAGUUUUCUCCAUGAUUCAGCCACAGACUCCUUGCUUGCCUGUCAUAAGACAUUCAAUCUUUUCAUUUCUAAGGUCCCCAUCUGUAUAGAGAGGCCAGAAAUGAGAGAAAAACAGGCAUAGUAGGGCUAGCUACAUACAGAUCCUCAAGUGUUGAGGGGACAUGCAGUUUCUUAAAUGAAUUGGUCACAUGAUACCGUUUUGGGGGGGUUUAUUUUGGUUCUUUACUGGGUAAUUGAAGCUUCAUAGACAUUAGGAAUCUGAAAAAUGCAUAUCAGUUACUUAUGUACAAACAGCUUUCUCACAGCAAUCUGGGGUUCUCGUAGGGGAGAGAGCCCUUCUAUGAGCACUGCAGCAAACAACCACCUGUUUCCACAAGUGUAAUGAUUCCCACAGCUAGAAUGAAGAGUUGAUAUUCAGGAUAUACACACAGAUUUUCCAUCUCUACAUUGCAACAUUAGCUGCGAUGCCCACCAUCAAACCUUCUCCACCAAGAAACACACCUAUUUCUCUACAUUUCUAAGCUUUCCAAAUGACCACCCCCUUCUCCAUUUAAUAAGAUCUGCAUUCCUCUGGCUUAGCUUCUACUUUUGCGAUGGGCUUGGCACCCAAAGACAUGUGUUCAAGUAGUAGGAAGCCCAAGGAUGCAGGUGGAUGAACUUGGUCCUCUAGCUGCUAUCCAACAGGAGAUGCAUGGUCAUCAAACUCAGCCCCACAGCAAGUGAAAGGCUCCUGCUACAGUGAGGGGAUGUAAUUGGACCUUGUAAGCUCUGUGACAUGGGAACCAAUUACACAGAAAUCCAAGCUUUGGCAGGCAAGUCUGCACUCUGGCGCUAGCUGGUCUCCAGCAAACGGCUGCUGUACGCAUGGUAAAGGUUAAGACUCAGCUGAUGCAGAGUUGGCAGCUGCACUGAGUCCUUUGGCAUUAACAUGCCAUCUUGGGUAAGGAAGAACAAUAGAUAAGUGCCUUCUGGCAGCCCGCUUCCAUGCUCCCAUUCAGCCCGUGACAUGUUCUUUGGGGAAGCGUUACUUGAGAAAGCAAAAGAUAAAUCAGUGUAUGGUAGGAAAAUAGCAGGAAGCUUUGGCUCAAGGCAGGCAGCUGAGGGACAGCAGAGUCCAAGCUUAUCUGCCAGUUCAAUGAAAUGGCACGGUACUGUAUAUUAAGCAAGGGAAAAGAAAGUAGUGCUGGCAUGGUGAAGAGAGACUGAUGGAAAGAACUGGACUCAAGGAGGAAUGGGUGGUUCUUUCUUAUAUGUCCUUUCCUUAACUACAUGCAAUGCAGUCCAGUGAAGAUCAGAUCACUUUCCGCAACAGUGAGGGUUGAAGAUGGAUGGGCACGGCAGGUUGGUGCUGGAAGCCAAGUGAGCAGCUGGCUAAAGCCCGUAUAGUCAAGGGAGCUCAGUGCUGGCCACCCAGGGCCUGGCCAUGGAAUGACCCUCAAGCUCCUCUGCAGUGAUAAGAGCGUCACUUCCACACUGCUGCCCUCAUGCCAUAGAAUCAUAGAAUCGCCUGGGUUGAAAGGAACCACAAUGAUCAUCUCGUUUCAACCCCCCUGCUAUGUGCAGGGUUGCCAACCACCAGACCAGGCUGCCCAGAGCCACAUCCAGCCUGGUCUUGAAUGCCUCCACGGAUGGGGUCAUUGCAGAGAAGCUGCUUUUGAGGAAAUGGGAACACCACCAACACAAACUGCUCUGGUUUGAACUGUUAAUGGACUUUCAGACACCAUGAAAGGCAGAAGGGCAGUGUGCUUGUGGCGAAAACCAUUCUCUCCUUUCUCACAGUGAGAGGGAAAGGACAGCACUAAAGAAAUGUGAUUUUGUGUUUGAAGGAAACAAUCAACCUAUUUUUCUCUCUAUAAGGGAGCAAAAUGGCCAUAGCUGCAAAUUAAUCCAGCAGUCCACAUCAGAUCCAGGAAGAAAAUAAUUUUGUUUUGUUUUCAUCACACAUUUCAGCAAUUAAGGAUUAGAAAGCAUUGGUUUUAAAAGGGAAACACUGUAAGGUUUUAUGACCUUAUAGUUAAAACCAUAUGACUGUCUGUAAAGAUAGAAAUAAGGACAUUAAGAAACUUAUAACGAGAAGAACUUAGGACUCUAGUCUCCAGGACAGCCUAAGAAUUCUGGUUCUCCGAAACUCUGACGUGGCUAUUGAAGCCCAAGCUUUGCCUUUCGGUCCCCCUCUUGUUCCUUGCACACCUGGAGACCUGGCCUUUGCUCUUUGCCUCUGUGUCCUGAGCAAUUUUCAUACAUUUCUGGGCUACAGUCUCUCUCUGUUUCAUAUCAGAACCUAUCUCUUCCCUUCCAUAUCUACACUUCUAUAGCAUCUCUUUUUACUGGUAUUACUUACUCCUAAUAACUGUAAUUACAUUAUGGAUCCCUGUCAAGCUUCUAGGAACAAAGCUUGGAUGAAGAAUUCUAUACAAAAUAGACCUCUAUCACAGGAAAUUUGCACCAUGGCAAAGAGACAAGGAAGUUGUUUGAUCAUUACUUUUAUCUAGAACAAAUUGCACAUAAUAGCAUAAUAAUAUUUUCUACCAGAUUCUGUUUCUCAGACAAGCACAAUUUCUUUCUCUUUUUUUUUUUUUUUGGUAAAUUAAUCUGCAUUUAACUGAAUCAUCUAUGUACAUCUGAGUCCCCAAAAUGAGAUACUUAAAUGUGCAUUAAAAAAUAAACAAAUGAGUAAUUCACUGAAUGCAGUCCUUGUUUCACUGCCCUUGACAUAGCCCUAGAAACUCAAAACUUUCGUAUUGACUUAAGAUAAGUGCCAUAAGACCAUUAAACAAUCCAUUGUUCUUAUGGUACCCAAUAAUCUAGUCUUUUUAUUUAAAUAUGAUAGGAAGUAAUCCCAGAGCCAAUGAAAGCAUGGAACCAACUAGGUGUAACGUUCCACAAAUGCUAUAUUGCAUGGAAGAGUUCAGCUCCUUAUCUGGAAAACAGUUGGCUGUGACCCUAUUAAACAAUUAUAUAUUAUCAGUUUUACUUGGCAACAUUUAUGUGUCAAAAUGUGUCAUGGGUUUCACAGCUUAGUUCCAGAAAUAGACUGUGAUCUGGGUGACAUCAUACUUCUCAGUAAAACCCUUUUUUUCACUUUUCUUCCUUUCAUAACCACUUGUGUUCCCGGUAUUCCCAGCCCCACGCUGGGUGCGCUCAGGCCAGCAAGAUGGAACAAGCCCUUUCCACAAUUUGGCUCCAUGGCACUUCAAAUGGGUUGAACAGUUUACCAAAACAGUGCUGGUCACCUGGUGACAAACAGGAACCUUGGUGGCUCCUCUAUGGCAGAGCAGGAAAAACACGGGAGCUUUGGUGAAGACUGUUUAUAGCAAUAACCACUGCGCAAUGAAGAGACACCAAAGACUAUCAAUGAUUGAAUGGGGCUGGCGGUUCACUUUGUGAUGUAAAGGGAUAAGAAUGUGUUACUGGGAGGUGCAACUCCCGUAAACUCAAACAACGUCCAUGGAUGUGCUGCUCAGAGCGCUUGGCCCGAGGCACAGGGGACAUGUCGGAUGGUGAAAGAUUAGGAAAAGCUACAAGCAGGGAGAGCUGAAAGUCUCCUCUCAGAAGCUUAUUGGGAUAUUUAAACAGUAAGUGACUGGAUUCUUAAAUGCAAAGUGGGAGAAAGUGGCAUUGUGAAACUGCAUUGCAAAAUCCUAUUAAGUCAAAGUUGCAAACAGCUACGCAACUGUCUGUUGUGUCGGAGCAGGAAGCCUGGGCACCAUUUUAAUGAGUCAUGAUCAAACAUCAUGCUGUCAUCUCAAUUUUUUCUCAAGUGCAUAUCAGGAAACAGAAAUGAAUUCUAGAGUUUUUAGCAUUCAAAGAAGAAAGUGCAUAAAGUUUUCUGCUCUCUGUAUGCUAAUCCUUUUCUUCAAAAUAUUAAGGGUGCGAUAUAAUUAAAAAUGUAGAAGGAGUUACCAUAGUAAACUCGAGGUCUUCAUGAACUAACUCACAGACCACAGCAUUUUCCUUUAUUUUGAAGCAUAACUGCAUUUUACCUCGCAAAUGUAGACAAACAUCCUCCAGGUUGUAAGCUGAAGGAAAUACGUAAGAAAGGAAAACAAAUUAAAAGAAGACAUAUGAAAAGUUUUCUCAGAAUCACUCAAGAAAAUUAACUUGAAACAACUAACCUACAUGUGGGAACAGAGUACUUCUACCACAUUAAACUGCAGGGCAACAGAACUCAAGUUUUAGCUAUUCCGGUAUUUAUUUAAUUUACUUUGGAAAUGAAUUAAGCAAUGGCGAAGUUAAGGCAUUUUCAUCACAAGCUGAAGAAAAGCUAAAUAAUGUACCUCAAGGUUUUUGAGUUUCUUUUGGAAGCUCCUUUGAGGCUCUUCAUACAAACUGCUCUUCAGUGGUCAGUCAGCACCUGGAUAUGGAACGCUCCUGUCAGUUCCUAUAGCAGUUUGGAAGCAACAGUGGCUUUUUCUGCAACACUGAGAAGCCUAAAAUAAAGACAUAUUUAGGAAUUAAUUGUGUUUUCUCUUUCUUUACCAUUUCUUCUUUUUUUUUUUCUUCAAAAGACAGAAGCAAAAUAAGAAGGAGAGAAGGGUAAAAGGGUAAAAGCACAGUGGAACUACAGAACAAACAAGAUGGCAAAAUAACAAAACUAUUUUUUAAUAAGCUGGGAAUUUGCCUCAGUAUGCAGUUCUUGGAGGAGAGGCGGCUCUGCAAGCUGGCCAGGUUCCCCACCGCACACAUAUGGACACCUGGAAGGAGAGGCAAAAUGAGCUUUACUCUUGUGCAACCCGAAGGUUACAUUUCUGUGACAAGUCUAAGUACUUCUUAUUAAGGAAAGGUUGAAAGACUGCAGAAAUGAUAAACAUCAGUUUUCAGUGGUGCAGUGAUAAACAGGCAUCAAAUAGGGAUCUUUAUUCUCCCCACAAAGAAUAACUGCUUACACCGAUGGGCUACACUGCUGGAAAGCUGUGUUUGAGAGGGGAAUCCAACAGGAGAAAAUAGAAUAUACAGAGAAAAGCACUGGAGAUGUGGAGGGAGAGCAGAGGAAAAAAAUGCUAUAAAUAAAAGCUAUUUGAAUUGAACUGUUCUUGAUCUUUAAUGAAUGAUGUUUCCUAAAGGCAAGAGAGGAACAAGAACUGUGAUGAGGGAGACAAACAUCCUCUAAAGAUCCAGGAGGUAUUUCCCAGAGUCCCAGCCCUGAGGCUGAAUGGGGACAGGGCUGGACUUGCCCAAGGAAAAGCCCAAAGUGAAGGAGAAACACUAUAAAGUGCAAAGGAGAGGAGAGGCAUCGUACUCUCACUGGGGCUGAGCAAGGGGUAGAGGAGGAUCAGGCACUAAAUGUUGCUCAUGUGUCAACUUGUUCUUCUAAACAAAGCACCUUCAAUCUGUAAUGAUUUUAGUGGCCUUUCUAAACCCCAGUUCAUAGGUUGUUAAUUCUCUAGCAUGACUUCUGUUUUUA